CCCCUCCCAGGGUCGUACCUGGAGAGUUUCCAGUAUUCUACCAGUCCCGCCUACCGGGGGGAGAGUCAAGCAGAGGCAUACCCAUUCCAUUCCUAGCUUGGAUGGUGGCUAGCGAGUGGAAGGCAAUCUGCUACAAGU